GACGAACGCUGGCGGCGUGCUUAACACAUGCAAGUCGAACGGUGAAGCGCCUUCCUUUUUGGUGGGUGUGGAUGAGUGGCGAACGGGUGAGUAACACGUGAGUAACCUGCCCCCUUCUUCUGGAUAAUCGCAUGAAAGUGUGGCUAAUACGGGAUAUUCUGGGUCUGUCGCAUGAUGGGUCUGGGAAAGAUAUUGUUUCGGUGGGGGAUGGGCUCGCGGCCUAUCAGCUUGUUGGUGGGGUGAUGGCCUACCAAGGCGGUGACGGGUAGCCGGCCUGAGAGGGUGGACGGUCACACUGGGACUGAGACACGGCCCAGACUCCUACGGGAGGCAGCAGUGGGGAAUAUUGCACAAUGGGCGCAAGCCUGAUGCAGCGACGCCGCGUGAGGGAUGGAGGCCUUCGGGUUGUGAUCCUCUUUCGCCAGUGAAGCAGGCCUGCCUCGUUUGUGGGUGGGUUGACGGUAGCUGGAUAAGAAGCGCCGGCUAACUACGUG
rnacentral:rRNA from 1 species